rnacentral:rRNA from 1 species
CGCAACCCUUGUCUUUAAUUGCCAUCAUUUAGUUGGGCACUUUAAAGAGACUGCCGGUGUUAAGCCGGAGGAAGUGGGGAUGACGUCAAGUCCUCAUGGCCUUUAUGCCCAGGGCUACACACGUGCUACAAUGGGCGGUACAAAGAGAAGCAACCUCGCGAGGGUGAGCAAAUACUCAAAAGCCGUUCUCAGUUCGGAUUGAAGUCUGCAACUCGACUUCAUGAAGUCGGAAUCGCUAGUAAUCGCGGAUCAGCAUGCCGCGGUGAAUACGUUCCCGGGCCUU